GGUGAUCAGUGGCGAACGGGUGAGUAACACGUGAGUAACCUGCCCUUCACUCUGGGAUAACUCCGGGAAACCGGGGCUAAUACCGGAUAUGACACCAAUCCGCAUGGGUAUGGUGUGGAAAGUUUUUCGGUGGAGGAUGGACUCGCGGCCUAUCAGCUUGUUGGUGAGGUAAUGGCUCACCAAGGCGACGACGGGUAGCCGGCCUGAGAGGGCGACCGGCCACACUGGGACUGAGACACGGCCCAGACUCCUACGGGAGGCAGCAGUGGGGAAUAUUGCACAAUGGGCGAAAGCCUGAUGCAGCGACGCCGCGUGAGGGAUUAAGGCCUUCGGGUUGUAAACCUCUUUCAGCAGGGAAGAAGCGCAAGUGACGGUACCUGCAGAAGAAGCACCGGCUAACUACGUGCCAGCAGCCGCGGUAAUACGUAGGGUGCGAGCGUUGUCCGGAAUUAUUGGGCGUAAAGAGCUUGUAGGCGGUUUGUCGCGUCUGCUGUGAAAUCUCAAGGCUCAACCUUGAGCUUGCAGUGGGUACGGGCAGACUAGAGUGUGGUAGGGGAGACUGGAAUUCCUGGUGUAGCGGUGAAAUGCGCAGAUAUCAGGAGGAACACCGAUGGCGAAGGCAGGUCUCUGGGCCACUACUGACGCUGAGAAGCGAAAGCAUGGGGAGCGAACAGGAUUAGAUACCCUGGUAGUCCAUGCCGUAAACGUUGGGAACUAGGUGUGGGCCUCAUUCCACGAGGUCCGUGCCGCAGCUAACGCAUUAAGUUCCCCGCCUGGGGAGUACGGCCGCAAGGCUAAAACUCAAAGGAAUCGACGGGGGCCCGCACAAGCGGCGGAGCAUGCGGAUUAAUUCGAUGCAACGCGAAGAACCUUACCAAGGCUUGACAUAUACCGGAAAAGUGCAGAGAUGUGCUCCCCGCAAGGUCGGUCUACAGGUGGUGCAUGGUUGUCGUCAGCUCGUGUCGUGAGAUGUUGGGUUAAGUCCCGCAACGAGCGCAACCCUCGUUCUAUGUUGCCAGCACGUGAUGGUGGGGACUCAUAGGAGACUGCCGGGGUCAACUCGGAGGAAGGUGGGGAUGACGUCAAAUCAUCAUGCCCCUUAUGUCUUGGGCUUCACGCAUGCUACAAUGGCCAGUACAAAGGGCUGCGAGACCGUAAGGUGGAGCGAAUCCCAAAAAAACUGGUCUCAGUUCGGAUUGGGGUCUGCAACUCGACCCCAUGAAGUCGGAGUCGCUAGUAAUCGCAGAUCAGCAACGCUGCGGUGAAUACGUUCCCGGGCCUUGUACACACCGCCCGUCAAGUCACGAAAGUCGGUAACACCCGAAGCCGGUGGCCUAACUCGCAAGAGGAGGAGCCGUCGAAGGUGGGACUGGCGAUUGGGACUAAGUCGGAACAAGGUA
rnacentral:rRNA from 1 species